rnacentral:rRNA from 1 species
UACGUAGGGGGCAAGCGUUGUCCGGAUUUAUUGGGCGUAAAGCGCGUGUAGGCGGCCAGAUAGGUCUGCUGUGAAAACUCGAGGCUCAACCUCGAGCUGUCGGCGGAAACCAUCUGGCUAGAGUCCGGAAGAGGAGAAUGGAAUUCCUGGUGUAGCGGUGAAAUGCGCAGAUAUCAGGAAGAACACCUAUGGCGAAGGCAGCUCUCUGGGACGGUACUGACGCUGAGACGCGAAAGCGUGGGGAGCGAACAGG